GCGAGAUUAGCUCAUUUGGAUAGAGCGUCGCCCUCCGGAGGCGAAGGUGGCAGGUUCGAGCCCUGUAUCUCGCA
rnacentral:tRNA from 1 species